CAAAAGAUAGUUUAACGAAAAACAGCAGCUUUGGGAGUUGUAGAUGUAAGUGCAAAUCUUACUCUUUUGA
rnacentral:tRNA from 1 species